rnacentral:rRNA from 1 species
GCAUGUUUUUGACAUUUGAAAAAUGGACUGCUCAGUAAUACUCACUUUAUUUUAUGUAAAUUUUUGAUUAAUUAACUACGUUAAAGUGUAGAUAAGAUGUUUACAGUAAGAGUGAGACCUAUCAGCUAGUUGUUAAGGUAAUGGCUUAACAAGGCUGUGACGGGUAACGGUAUUACUUUGUAAUAUUCCGGAGAAGGAGCCUGAGAGACGGCUACUAAGUCUAAGGAUUGCAGCAGGGGCGAAACUUGACCUAUGGAUUUUAUCUGAGGCAGUUAUGGGAAGUAAUAUUAUAUUGUUUCAUAUUUUAAAAGUAUAUGAGGUGAUUAAUUGGAGGGCAAAUCAAGUGCCAGCAGCCGCGGUAAUACUUGUUCCAAGAGUGUGUAUGAUGAUUGAUGCAGUUAAAAAGUCCGUAGUUUAUUUUUUAAGAAGCAAUAUGAGGUGUACUGUAUAGUUGGGAGAAAGAUGAAAUGUGACGACCCUGACUGGACGAACAGAAGCGAAAGCUGUACACUUGUAUGUAUUUUUUGAACAAGGACGUAAGCUGGAGGAGCGAAGAUGAUUAGAUACCAUUGUAGUUCCAGCAGUAAACUAUGCCGACGAUGUGAUAUGAAAAUAUUAAUUUGUAUUACAUAAUAGAAAUUUGAGUUUUUUGGCUCUGGGGAUAGUAUGAUCGCAAGAUUGAAAAUUAAAGAAAUUGACGGAAGAAUACCACAAGGAGUGGAUUGUGCGGCUUAAUUUGACUCAACGC